rnacentral:sRNA from 1 species
CCAGCAUCUGAGCCUCAGCUUACCUCCAUCUCAUAUUCUCCGUCUGGAUACAAUAUACUGCUUUCCGCUUCUACAAGUGCUCUCAGCUAUGAAAUGCGACUUUGCGAACUCAAGUCCAUCAAGGUGGAUUGUUUCUAUGAUCCACUCAAAGUGCCUCCGAAUAACUGACCAGCUGCUAUGCGGAUUUCCUUGCCAAAUCCAGUGUAUCUAUCUCAUUUCUUCAGUAUUGCCAGUUGCGGACAAUGCUGAUUAAUGUCCUUCUUUUUCCUUUCUUUCACCUUUCUUCUGGGACAACGUUGCCGAAACCACUCUGCUGUCACCAUAUGCGGGGUGAGUGAAGGUAACUUGCAUAAAUCGGUACAAAAGAUCCAAAACUAUCUAAAUGCUUGAGUGGUAUUUUUCCAAUGAAAUCGUUAGGGGG